GACGAACGCUGGCGGCGUGCUUAACACAUGCAAGUCGAACGGAAAGGCCCCUUUUGGGGUCGUCGAGUGGCGAACGGGUGGGUAACACGUGAGUAACUUGCCCUUGACUUCCGGAUAGCUUCCGUAAACUGGGGCUAAUACCUGCUAGGAAUCCUUGCUGCCUGUUGGGUGGUGGAGCGCUGCGGCGGGUUGGGGUUGACUCGCGGCCUAUCAGGGUGUUGGUGGGGUAGUGGCUUACCAAGGCUUUGACGGGUAGCCGGCCCGAGAGGGCGACCGGGCUCAGUGGGACUGAGACACGGACCAGACCCCUACGGGAGGGAGCGGUGGGGGAUAUUGCAAAAUGGGGGGGAGCCUGAGGCAGCAACGCCGCGGGCGGGAUGACGGUCUUCGGGUUGGAAACCGAUUUCAGCAUGGGCCAAGAUGGUAGUGACGGUACCUGGAGAAGAAGCACCGGCUAACUACGUG
rnacentral:rRNA from 1 species